rnacentral:rRNA from 1 species
UGGGGAAUAUUGCACAAUGGGCGAAAGCCUGAUGCAGCGACGCCGCGUGAGGGAUGACGGCCUUCGGGUUGUAAACCUCUUUCAGCAGGGAAGAAGCGAAAGUGACGGUACCUGCAGAAGAAGCGCCGGCUAACUACGUGCCAGCAGCCGCGGUAAUACGUAGGGCGCAAGCGUUGUCCGGAAUUAUUGGGCGUAAAGAGCUCGUAGGCGGUUAGUCGCGUCUGCUGUGAAAACUCGAGGCUCAACCUCGGGCUUGCAGUGGGUACGGGCUGACUAGAGUGCGGUAGGGGUGACUGGAAUUCCUGGUGUAGCGGUGGAAUGCGCAGAUAUCAGGAGGAACACCGAUGGCGAAGGCAGGUCACUGGGCCGCAACUGACGCUGAGGAGCGAAAGCAUGGGGAGCGAACAGGAUUAGAUACCCUGGUAGUCCAUGCCGUAAACGUUGGCGCUAGGUGUGGGUCCAUUCCACGGAUUCCGUGCCGCAGC